AUUGAACGCUGGCGGCAGGCCUAACACAUGCAAGUCGAACGAGUGGCGGACGGGUGAGUAAUGUCUGGGAAACUGCCUGAUGGAGGGGGAUAACUACUGGAAACGGUAGCUAAUACCGCAUCCCAUCGGAUGUGCCCAGAUGGGAUUAGCUAGUAGGUGGGGUAACGGAUCACCUAGGCGACGAUCCCUAGCUGGUCUGAGAGGAGGACCAGCCACACUGGAACUGAGACACGGUCCAGACUCCUACGGGAGGCAUCAGUGGGGAAUAUUGGACAAUGGGCGAAAGCCUGAUCCAGCCAUGCCGCGUGUGUGAAGAAGGUCUUCGGAUUUGAAAGCUCUUUAAGUUGGGAGGCGUUACCAACAGAAUAAGCACCGGCUAACUUCGUGCCAGCAGCCGCGGUAAUUC
rnacentral:rRNA from 1 species